GACGAACGCUGGCGGCGUGCCUAAUACAUGCAAGUAGAACGCUGAAGCGAUGAGCUUGUUCUCUUUGGGGGAGUGACGAACGGGUGAGUAACGCGUAGGUAACCUUCCAUGUAGCGGGGGGUAACAAUGGGAAACGAUAUCUAAUACCGCAUAAUAAGACGUGACAGAUGUCAUAUAUUUGAAAGGGGCAAUUGCCGCACGAAAAGAUGGAUGUGCGGUGUAUUAGCUAGUAGGUGAGGUAACGGCUCAGCUAGGCAACGAUACAUAGCCGAGCUGAGAGGGUGGUCGGCCAAACUGGGAAUGAGACACCGCCCCGACUCCCACGGGAGGCAGCAGUAGGGGAACAUCGGACAUGGGGGCAAAGCUGGACGCACCACGACGGGUGAGUGAAGGAGGUUUUCGGAUCGUAAAGCUCUGUUGUAAGUCAAGAAAGAGUAUCAGGGUAGAACGUUCACAUUGUGACGGUAGCUUACCAGAAAGCAACGGCUAACUACGUG
rnacentral:rRNA from 1 species